GAGUGGGAGUCCCAGAGUUAC
rnacentral:miRNA from 1 species